GAUGAACGCUGGCGGCGUGCCUAAUACAUGCAAGUCGAGCGAACAGACGAGGAGCUUGCUCCUCUGACGUUAGCGGCGGACGGGUGAGUAACACGUGGAUAACCUACCUAUAAGACUGGGAUAACUUCGGGAAACCGGAGCUAAUACCGGAUAAUAUAUUGAACCGCAUGGUUCAAUAGUGAAAGACGGUUUUGCUGUCACUUAUAGAUGGAUCCGCGCCGCAUUAGCUAGUUGGUAAGGUAACGGCUUACCAAGGCAACGAUGCGUAGCCGACCUGAGAGGGGGAUCGGCCACCCUGGAACUGGGACACGGUCCAGACUCCUACGGGAGGCCGCAGUAGGGAAUCUUCCGCAAUGGGCGAAAGCCUGACGGAGCAACGCCGCGUGAGUGAUGAAGGUCUUCGGAUCGUAAAACUCUGUUAUUAGGGAAGAACAAAUGUGUAAGUAACUAUGCACGUCUUGACGGUACCUAAUCAGAAAGCCACGGCUAACUACGUG
rnacentral:rRNA from 1 species